UAAGUGUGAUUUUCAACUCAAUGGGAGCCU
rnacentral:sRNA from 1 species